CUCACCUUUGCACAAAACGGAUGACCUUACUGAAGCCGAGCCCGUAAAGGUGGUCCGCUUUCAAUUCAGUGGCCUUAAAGCUUCGAUUACUCUGCCAUAACCCCUUUACGUUUGUCCUGCUUAGAAAUUAUGUUAUUAUUUCAAGAGUACGUAUACUAGCUGCCAAGGGUUCAUUUAGCUCCAAACCAGGUGGCGCGACAAUCACUUGGCUAGGCGUGCCAACACGGUGUUUGCGUCUAACACCACUACUAUUUCAUCAUGGUGUAGCACAAGUCUGCUGGCGCAGGUGUGAUCACGGAAAAGGGGAUCCGGCAUCUUCACUAUUACAUUGAAAACGACCCAUAGUGGCGUAUAUCUUCGCAUGACCUUUUACUUUCUGCGGAUAGUGCGAAACCCUCGAACCAUGCUUCGUUUCUUUUUUGUCUAUUUUUUUACUUAUUUUCUAUGUAGGACAGAACAGUCUGCCUGAACAAACCGUCUCAUCUCCACACAAUGUAAAUAAACUUUAAUUUCGCACUACCAGUAGCACCUUCACUUGUUUCUCAAAAUUUUAAACAAAAUUCUGGCGUUUUAUGUUCCGAAACCACAAUCUGAUUCUGAGGCACGUGUGAGUGAUUAUAUUCGACAACCUUCGAUUCUUUAACGUGCACCUUAUGCAUUGUACACGGGCGUUUUGGCACAUCGCCCUCAUCAAAUAGCGGCCACCCGAUCCGGGAUUCAUCCCGUCACCUGGUUCUUAGCAAAGCAACACCAAAGCCGUUAAGCUACCACGGCCGGGUCACCCAUCUAAAUCACAAAAUCUUUGCAAUAAGUGUUUCUAUUGGCGUACGAAAAGUGAAACCGUGCAAAUAUAUACUGUGCUUCGGUAAGAAAUGCGGUACUGACAACAUAGGGCUAUUGUUUUCUUGCUAACCAAUAAGAAAUAUUUAAAAAACAAAGAGCCGUAUUACACAAUUCAACUCUUCGCGCGAAGUUUCAG